CUAGCUGAUACCUUUACUGCAUCCUCCCAGACAGGAAGGAGCUCCCUGGGGACUCAAUCUCUUCUUCGGGUGGAAACAGUGCUGCAUGAGGUACUGGAGGAGGUCAAGGCAGACUUCUACUAACUGGAUGCUUUCACUCAUUUAUUAUUUGUUUGGUAAUUUUGAACGGUCUCUCAGGCAAAAGUUUUGACACUCUAUGACUCGAGAGAAAAGCUGGAGUAAAGAGAAGGCAUGCCACAAAAUAAGUCCCUUCAGAAUUUCAGAUCCUUCUUUGGAUGACAUUCCUCCUUCUUAAAUGCGGACAAUUCAACUUGGACCUAAGGUAUGGGCAGCAGAAACUGGAUUAGAACGGAUGUUGAGUGAAGAAAGUGGAUGGCUUCACUCAGAUGUUCCAAAUCCGUCCCAGGAAAAUGAAAGCCACAUAGGUGCCAGAAACCGAUGCAUUUUCCACAAAGAAUACCGAGAUUCCUUCUGCUUUGUCAGAUCUAGAGUUCACUGCAAUUCCCUCCAUGACAAGACACAGGCCAUUCUAGGACGCGUGUGACAGAUGCCAUUCACAAGCCCGCGCCCUCCAACAGACAGAUUCACACUGAGGCUCCGUUCUCCUUCCCAGCUGGAAUCAAUCCUCU
rnacentral:lncRNA from 1 species